ACUACCUCUGAUGAGCAUCUCAGGAAUGGCAGAGGUUCUAUAGAGGAGGCAGUAGUUUCCACAAUAUUUGUUGAUUCAUAAAAUGGAGAAAUUACCAUGUAUAUCUUUGUCUGUACAGAAGAUCUUUCUGGCUUUCUUUGUUGCAAUGGGCAUCAUUGUGACCCUGGGUGAUGCAGACUGCUUUACUGCACUUCGAAAGCCUGGAUGGCCCCAAAAAGGCUGUAUGAUGAAUGGAAAACUGUAUCCCCUUGGACACAUUGAGAGGACAGAAUUUUGUUACAAAUGUGACUGUGAGAAAGAUGGAAUGAGAUGCUGUUCCCUGUAAGUUUGAACUUCUUAUUAUCAUCAUUGCCUGUAGGAUGACUGCAGGUUUCCAUUGCUGGGGAUAAAUGGGUCUGUAAGGGCAGAAGAGAGCUUUUUCUGAUCCAUGUUGCAGAGCUAGUGAAAGCUCUCGAGCUAACAUUUGCUUCCUCUUUGUCAAUGACAGUUUUUUUACACCUUCUCAUUACGAUGGAGAAAAUUGUAAAAUCAUUUUCAACAGAAAGCGCUGUGACUAUGAUGUGCUGCAGAAGGACGGCACUUCCAAGGUGUGUUCUUUCAUUGCUAGUGUGGGCUAACAUCUGCUCCAAGCCUCUCUGCUCUGUGGAAUUCCUCUCCUUUCCACAGAUACUGUGCCAUCACAGGGAAGCACCGCGACAAUGGAUAAUCUCCUAAAAGAGAGCACUUCACUACCUCGCUUGUAACCUCCUAAUUGUUCUAAUUCAGCUUACAAGAUGCAUGAUCAAAUAGAGUGUCUCACUGAUGUCAUUACUACAUUUUUUGACAAUAAUAA
rnacentral:lncRNA from 12 species